UCCGAAUUGGUGUAGUGGCUAACAUUUGACGCUCUCAUUCGUUUCGUUUACUUUAAAAAGCGUUAUGGAAGUGUGCCGUCAAGCCCGGGGUUCGAUUCCCCGAUUCGGAG